rnacentral:rRNA from 1 species
GAGGAAUAUUGGUCAAUGGGGGCAACCCUGAACCAGCCAAGUCGCGUGAAGGAUGAAGGUCUUAUGGAUUGUAAACUUCUUUUAUACGGGAAUAAAGUGGGGGACGUGUCCCCCUUUGCAUGUACCGUAUGAAUAAGGAUCGGCUAACUCCGUGCCAGCAGCCGCGGUAAUACGGAGGAUCCGAGCGUUAUCCGGAUUUAUUGGGUUUAAAGGGUGCGCAGGCGGGAUGUUAAGUCGGCGGUGAAAUUUUGCAGCUCAACUGUAAAAGUGCCUUCGUUACUGGCCUCCUUGAGUGUGGAUGAAGUAGGCUGAAUUUGUGGUGUAGCGGUGAAAUGCUUAGAUAUCACGAGGAACUCCGAUUGCGCAGGCAGCUUACUAAACCACAACUGACGCUCAUGCACGAAGGCGUGGGGAUCAAACA